rnacentral:misc_RNA from 1 species
UCCGACUUGACGUCGGCAGUCUCGUUAGAGUGCCCCACUUAAGGCUGGCAACUAACGACAGAGGUUGCGCUCGUUGCAGGACUUAACCUAACACCUCACGGCACGAGCUGACGACAGCCAUGCAGCACCUGUACUAGUGUGUAUUGCUACAAGACCGACUUUCAUCGGUUGUCACUAGCUUUUCAAAUCCGGGUAAGGUUCUUCGCGUUGCAUCGAAUUGAACCACAUGCUCCACUGCUUGUGCGGGCCCCCGUCAAUUCCUUUGAGUUUCAACCUUGCGAUCGUACUCCCCAGGUGGGGUACUUAAUGCGUUAGCUUUGGCACUGAACCUUGCGGCCCAGCACCGAGUACCCAUCGUUUAAGGCGUGGACUAC